rnacentral:rRNA from 1 species
GACGAACGCUGGCGGCGUGCCUAAUACAUGCAAGUAGGACGCUGAAGAGAGGAGCUUGCUCUUCUUGGAUGAGUUGCGAACGGGUGAGUAACGCGUAGGUAACCUGCCUGGUAGCGGGGGAUAACUAUUGGAAACGAUAGCUAAUACCGCAUAAAAUGGAUUAUCGCAUGAUAAUCCAUUGAAAGGUGCAAAUGCAUCACUACCAGAUGGACCUGCGUUGUAUUAGCUAGUUGGUGGGGUAACGGCUCACCAAGGCGACGAUACAUAGCCGACCUGAGAGGGUGAUCGGCCACACUGGGACUGAGACACGGCCCAGACUCCUACGGGAGGCAGCAGUAGGGAAUCUUCGGCAAUGGACGGAAGUCUGACCGAGCAACGCCGCGUGAGUGAAGAAGGGUUUCGGAUCGUAAAGCUCUGUUGUAAGAGAAGAACGAGUGUGAGAGUGGAAAGUUCACACUGUGACGGUAUCUUACCAGAAAGGGACGGCUAACUACGUG